CUAAAAUGGCACAUAUGGUAUUCAGUACACAUCUUAUCCAGGGAUAUUCUUUUUUUUUAAACCCUUACCUUCCAUCUUAGAAUCAAUGCUGUGUAUUGGUUCCAAGGCAGAAAAGUGGUAAGGGAUAGAUAGACAAUGGGGGCUAAGUGACUUGCCCAGUGUCACACAGCUGGGAAGUGUCUGAGGCUAGAUUUGAACCUAGGACCUCCCAUCUCUGGGACUGGCUCUCAAUCCACUGAGAUACCCAGUUGCCCCCUCUAGGGCAAUUCUUAUAAACUUUACUGGAUCCUUCCUGGAUGUUCCAUUACAUAAGAAUCAUUUCUAGUGUGCCAGUGAAAUGUCAUCCCCUGAUUUCACCAAAUGAUCUGUUCUCCUUUUCUAAUCAAACAUUUUCUCCAUAAUGAUCCCUUUUACCUGAGGCAGCUAGGUGGCCCAGUAGAUAGAGCACUGGACUUAGAAUCAGGAUGACCUAAGUUCCAAUCUAAGCCUAGUCAUUUACUACAUCUAUGAUCUUGGACCAGCCACUUAGCCUCUGUUUGCUCCAGAUUACUCAACUGUAAAAUGGGGAUAAUAACAGUACCUAAUUCUCACAUGUGUAAGGAUUAAGUGAGAUAACUGUAAAGUCUUUAACACAGUACCUGGCACAUGGUAAGCACUUAAAUGCUUAUUUCCUUAUUUUCUUCCACUUACAUAGAGAAUCAUACAAUCAUAGGCAGAGCUGGAAAGGACCUCGGAAAUCAUCCAAUUCAACACUUCCAUUUAACAUAUGGCACAACUGAAACCCAGAAGAGUAAAGUGGCAUCCAAAGUUGUACAAAGAAUAAAUGAUGAAGCAAAUGAAGCUGUCCAUACAAAGAAUUCUAUGGGAGAGGAUGCAGAAGCCAUGUCAGGACUCCCUAUCAGAACACACCAAAUUUGAAAGACUUUGGGGGGAAGGAAAUUUGGGUUAGAUGUUUUGUGUUAUUAAGAUUUUUUCCAAAGACAGCCUACCUGUCUUUCUGGCAUAGCUGUCAAUGCGCAGACAUUUGGGGAGGGCACCCAAAUGCCAGUUUUCUGUUUGGUUGGGCAGUGGCAUUAAAGCCUUGCCCAAAAGGGGGGGUACCAAUGAGAAAUUUGGGUGACUCAGUUUCCCUCAGCCCUUUGAGAAACCUCAGUACCAAGCACCCCUGUUUUGGGGUUGAACUACGGACUUCAGAGCUAUUUGGUAUAAAGAUUAAAAUCAAUAUACAAUAACU
rnacentral:lncRNA from 1 species